rnacentral:rRNA from 1 species
UGCUGCAUGGCUGUCGUCAGCUCGUGUCGUGAGAUGUCGGUUAAGUCCGCUAACGAGCGCAACCCUCGUCGUGUGUUAUACGUGUCACACGAUACUGCCGGUAUCAAGCCGGAGGAAGGUGGGGAUGAUGUCAAGUCAGCAUGGCCUUUAUAUCCUGGGCUACACACACGCUACAAUGGCAGAUACAAUAGGUUGCGAAACCGCGAGGUGGAGCCAAUCCUCAAAGUCUGUCUCAGUUCAGAUUGUAGGCUGCAACUCGCCUGCAUAGAGUUGGAGUUGCUAGUAAACGCAGGUCAGCUAUACUGCGUUGAAUACGUUCCCGGGGUUU